rnacentral:rRNA from 1 species
AUGACAACGGCCGCGUUGCGACUGCGACUGCCAAGAGCUCCGGCCACCGCCACUCUCACCGUGGUGCCCCGUCAGUACGCACUCCCGGAGGAGGAGCCCCCGCCGCGCCGCCCCAACACGGCCCACCACAAUGCGCAGCUCACGUCGUACGGCCGCCGCGGCCGCCUCCGCGACGCCCAGCAGCUGUUCGACCAAAUGCCCCGCCGGGACGUCAUCUCCUGGACCGCUCUCCUCACCGCCUACGCCGACAACGGCGACCUCGCCUCGGCGCGCCUCGUCUUCGACGACAUGCCCCGCCGCAACGCCCCCUCCUGGAACGCCCUGCUCUCCGUCUACCUCCGCGCGGGGCAACCAGCCGCCGCGCACGCGCUCUUCUCCAAGAUGCCGGUCAGGAACGCGGUGUCCUAUGGCGCCAUGAUCACGGGGCUCACCAGGGCAGGGAUGCUUCGUGAGGCUGAGGCUGUGUAUGCGGAGAUGCCACGGCAGUGGCGUGACCCAGUAGGGUCAAAUGCGUUGAUGGCCGGGUACUUGAGGGCUGGGAAGCUUGGCAUGGUGUUGAGGGUGUUUGACGGAAUGGCGGUGAGGGAUGUCAUAUCCUGGAGCGCGGUCGUCGAUGGGCUCUGCAAACACGGAAGCGUGUCGGAGGCGAGGAAGGUGUUUGAGACCAUGCCAGAGCGGAAUGUGGUCUCGUGGACCUCGAUGAUUCGUGGAUAUGUGAAACUUAGGAUGUACACAGAUGCUCUGUUGCUGUUCCUGGACAUGAGAAGGGCAGGUGUUCAGGUUAAUACAACGACACUCUCAGUUGUGCUAGAUGCUUGUGCUGAGGCUUGCCUUGCCAGAGAAGGAGUUCAGAUUCACAGUUUGAUUGUAGCAAUGGGUUUUGAAAUGGAUGUUUUCUUGGAUGAUUCAAUAAUCAUCUUGUAUUCCCGAUUUGGUUGGAUGGUUGAUGCUAGAAGGGCAUUUGCUUGCAUGAAGUGGAAAGACAUAGUAUCAUGGAACUCGUUGAUCACAGGCUAUGUCCAGCAUAACUUGGUUGAAGAAGCACAUGUCCUGUUCAAGUUAAUGCCUGAGAAGGAUGCUGUUUCUUGGACAUCGAUGGUUGUUGGAUUCGCUAACAGGGGUUGGAUGAGGGAGUCUGUUGACCUGUUUGAGCAAAUGCCAGGAAAAGAUGAGGUUGCUUGGACUGCAGUCAUUUCUAGUCUUGCUACAAAUGGAGACUAUUUAAGUGCAGUGCGGUGGUUUUGUCGCAUGGCACGAGAAGGGUGCAAACCUAAUACAGUAGCUUUUAGUUGUCUACUUAGUGCUUUGACUAGCUUGACAACGUUGAAUCAGGGAAUGCAAGCUCAUGCAUAUGCAAUCAACAUGGGAUGGGUAUUUGACUCUUCUGUUCACACUUCUCUGGUAUCAAUGUACGCAAAAUGCGGAAGGUUGGCUGAGGCUUAUCGCGUUUUCUCAGCCAUUAGCAGUCCAAGUCUUAUUGCUACUAAUUCUAUGAUUACAGCAUUUGCUCAACAUAAUUUUGCUGAAGAUGCAUUCAAGCUUUUUACCAAAAUGCAAAUUGAUGGCCACAAGCCUAACCAUGCGACAUUCGUGGGAAUUCUGACUGGCUGUGCACGUGCUGGUCUGGUUCAAGAAGGUUACAACUACUUUAAGUCAAUGAGAUCAGUCUAUGGCAUUGAACCAAACCCUGACCAUUAUACAUGUAUGGUUGAUCUUUUAGGUCGUGCUGGCCUCCUUGCGGAAGCACUGGAAAUGAUUAACUCGAUGCCCCAGAAUGAUCAUUCUGAUGCAUGGGCAGCUUUGCUCAGUGCUAGUAGUCUCCAUUCUAAUCUUGCUUAUGCAAAAAUAGCAGCGCAGAAGCUUCUUGAGUUGGAUCCUUAUGACGCAGCAGCUUAUACCGUCCUGUCAAAUAUGCUCUCAUCUGCGGGGAUGAAGGAUGACGGAGACAUGCUAAAAGUUCUACAGUUGUCCAACAUGGCCAGUAAAACCCCUGGCUAUAGCCUUAUUAUACAGGAUAAGGCUGCAGAAAACAGAAUACAUAGUGAACACUUCUAG